GACGAACGCUGGCGGCGUGCUUAACACCUGCAAGUCGAACGGAAAGGCCCUGCUUUUGUGGGGUGCUCGAGUGGCGAACGGGUGAGUAACACGUGAGUAACCUGCCCUUGACUUUGGGAUAACUUCAGGAAACUGGGGCUAAUACCGGAUAGGAGCUCCUGCUGCAUGGUGGGGGUUGGAAAGCUUCGGCGGUUGGGGAUGGACGCGCGGCUGAUCAGCUUGUUGGUGGGGUAGUGGCUUACCAAGGCUUUGACGGGUAGCCGGCCUGAGAGGGUGACCGGCCACAUUGGGACUGAGAUACGGCCCAGACUCCUACGGGAGGCAGCAGUGGGGAAUAUUGCAGCAUGGGCGGAAGCCUGCUGCAGCAACGCCGCGUGCGGGAUGACGGCCUUCGGGUUGUCAACCGCUUGCGCCUGUGACGAAGCGUGAGUGACGGUAAUGGGUAAAGAAGCACCGGCUAACUACGUG
rnacentral:rRNA from 1 species